rnacentral:rRNA from 1 species
GACGAACGCUGGCGGCGCGCUUAACACAUGCAAGUCGAGCGAGAACCGGGGCUUCGGCCCCGGGGACAGCGGCGAACGGGUGAGUAACACGUGGGUAACCUGCCCUCGGCACCGGGAUAGCCCGGGGAAACCCGGAUUAAUACCGGACAGCCUCCGGAGCCUUCGGGCGCCGGAGCAAAGGUGGCUUCGGCUGCCGGCCGACGAGGGGCCUGCGGCGGAUUAGCUUGUUGGCGGGGUAACGGCCCACCAAGGCGACGAUCCGUAGCUGGUCUGAGAGGACGAUCAGCCACACUGGGACUGAGACACGGCCCAGACUCCUACGGGAGGCAGCAGUGGGGAAUCUUGCACAAUGGGCGCAAGCCUGAUGCAGCGACGCCGUGUGCGGGAAGAAGGCCUUCGGGUUGUAAACCGCUUUCAGGAGGGACGAAGCUCCUCGGGUUAAUAGCCCAGAGGGUGACGGUACCUCCAGAAGAAGCCCCGGCUAACUACGUGCCAGCCGCCGCCGUAAGAC